rnacentral:rRNA from 1 species
UACAUUCCGGGAAGCGGGGGAUAGCCCAGGGAAACUUGGAUUAAUACCGCAUGUGAUCGAAAGAUCAAAGACGGGGACCGCAAGGCCUGUCACUUCCCGAUUGGUCCGCGGCCUAUCAGCUAGUUGGUGAGGUAAUGGCUCACCAAGGCUACGACGGGUAGCUGGUCUUAGAGGACGACCAGCCACACUGGAGCUGAGACACGGUCCAGACACCUACGGGUGGCAGCAGUCGAGAAUCUUUCACAAUGGGGGCAACCCUGAUGGAGCGACGCCGCGUGGAG